UCUAUCUAUCUAUCUAUCUAUCUAUCUAUCUUAUUUAAUUUCGAUGCUACCUACCGUUAAGCACAGAAAUGGGGACACGGAUAAUGGCAUUAAAUUAGCGUCAUUUGAAACAUCUGUUGCUGUUUCAUUUGUCUAAUCUUUCCUCAAUUAAUGUUUCCUAAUGUAUUAAAGCAGCAGAACAUGGUUCAUGUUAAAUUAUUGGGUUUUUAGGCCUAUAGGCGACUACCACCUAAUGAUAUUAUUAUUAGCCUAUAAUUAAUUAUGAGAACAAUAAGUAAUUAUUUAUUCGGAAAUCAUUUUUACAUCUAUUCGCUUUCUCUUCUCAUUCAUGUUAUUUUCUUUGAUAAAUAAGCUUAUAUAUUAACAAGGUAUCAAGCCAUACUGUGCAAAACAUUUCUCUAAAAUACUAAAAUGUUUAAUAUGCAAACAGAAAUUACAAACCAGAUUAUAAACCUGUCUAGGCGAAAUAUAUUUUCUCGUUUCGUUCAGAGCGACGAAUAAACUAACUGUGUCUGUCAACACGUUUAACUGAGUCACUGCACGACUUUAAUUGCAUUGCUGCGGCAUCAUAACUUUUAAAAUAAUCUUCUCUCCAUCAAAAUCAUGAUGACAUCACAGAGAGGAUUUAUUAAGUUUAUUCGUUAGGCUUUUAUUACAUGAUUAUAAAAGAAAGAAGAAGCUUAUCAAAAUAGUUUUUUUUUAUUUAUUUUUUUUUUAUUUAGUUUCGUUUAAGCAGAUUGUGCGUAAAGUUUUCCCUGACCAGUCCUCCUCAACCAUAGCCAUGUCCAAAAAAAAGUAAAUAAAUUAUAAUAGGCAUUUUAAAAAUCAGAAACUCUCUUUCGUUUACACAUUUCCCUAUUAAAGAAAAAUAAUACUUAUCAACGUGAUCUUUAUUAUUUCUUUUGUGCAGCCAAAUAAUCACAAGCUGAGUAUAACUCGGUGUCUGCAGCACUGCCAGACUAUUGCCAAAUAACAGUCUGGGAGAGGAGAGGGGGAAAAAGAUGGAGGAAUUAAUAUGUAGUGUUAAUUAACAGGAAGUCAGAGGCAGUCUCAGCAUCACCAUGACAAAGUUUGAUCAGAGGAAGUAUAUUCCCACAGUAUUGUGUUCAGUGUUUAUAAUGACUGCUCGGUGUUGUUGCCUUUUUUGCAAACACCUGAAAACUGAGGAUUCAGUCGCAGUGUCGAUUUGUGUUUGCUGUGAAAUCUAGGGUCAGGUUUGACUUCAAUUCUCUUGCCACGUUUUUUGCCUUACAUUUGGCAUGUAUUUUAGUUCUACAGCUAUAAGAUAUUAGUAUUUUUCUGUUUUAUCAGCCACUUUUUAGAUGCACUCUUAAAAAUAAAUACAACUGCAUGGAGGAACCGCUUUGGGUUUCCCAAAGAACCAAAUAUUAAAAUAAUAAUAAUAAUAAUAAUAAUAAUAAUUGUAAAUAGUGUGAAGAACAUUUUAAUAGUCUAAAGAACGUUUUUCCACUAUAGAUUUCCAUGGACUUCAUGGAACAAACAAACAAUACAUAUAUAUAAAAGAACGUUUAUUUUUAAGUAUAGUCUAUUUAUUUUGAGAAUUGCAUAUUAUUCUCAACAAUAUCUAAUUCGUUGAUGCACCUGUGAGAAAUGUGCAUCGUAAGAAGAGCCGGUCGAUCUCAGCAGGUGUUGUAGGUCAGUUGGCCGAUAUUUUCUAGCCUCCCGAUGGCUCGAUGGCCAUCUCUCCAUAUCAGAGUCGUGCAGACAAUCAACAACUUCCUACAUAAACACAUGUGAAUGCAUGGGAUGCAGACCAAAUGGAAGGGCAAGAGAGGAUAGGGCCACCCCGCAGUUUACAUGUUACCCAACAAGCAACGCGCCGGUCCCCCUCGGUUCAGGAUGCGACGCGAAUCCUCCUCAUGUCAGGCGAAAUGUGUUGAAGCGAAAGGCUGCCUUCCGUAGCUCUCUGAGCAGUCCUGUCUGCUGUGUGUUUGUUUCGAUGCCGGUUUGCGAGCCCCCCGAUUCUGGAGCACGGAUUUGGCAGUCACAGCAAGUGAUGACAGAGGCAUUGGUGAGAUCGCACCCGGAACCCCAGAGGACGCCACCGUUCCGGAGGAAGCAGUAUAAAGGAAGGCCUCUUAGACCGCCUCAGGCUUCGCUUCGAGCUUGCUUCUGUACACUCUUUAAAAAUAAACCUUCCAGAAAGAGGUUUUCGCACUGUUUCCAGAAAGAGCUUUUUUUUUGGAUGUCCAAAGAACCUUUCAGUCAACAAUUUUUCUUAUUAUAAUGAACAUUUUGUAAUCUAAAGAACAUUUUUUCCACUAUAAAGAAACUUUUGUGCAAUUAAAAGGUUCCAUGGAUUUUCCCAGCCAACCAAAAUAUGCUCUAAAACGUUUGAAGCUGUAAAAACAUUAUUUCUGAACGUUCUGUGAAGACAAAUUGGUUCUGUGAAUGUUAAGGGAACGUUUUAUUUUGCAAAUAUUAAGGGAACGUUACUUAUGAAUGUUCUGACAAAACUGAUUUCAGAGGGGGAAAAAACACACAUUUUUGAGCUAAUGUUUGGAAAACAUUAAGACAGUUUUCCAAGACAUUUUGAAUGUUUUAUUAACGUUCUGAAACAAAUGGUUACAAAAACGGAUUUCAGAAAAAAAAAUGCUCUGACGUUUUGAGAGCAUCAGUAAAGACCAGAUGAUUCUGAACGGAUUUUCUAUGAAUGAUAUUUGAAGAACGUUUAUACUCUGAGAGAACCCUGUUCUGAGAACGUUCCCUGUGUACUGGGUUAAAGGUUCUUUUUGGACGCAUUGUUAGCCGCUUGCGACGCCAAGGUGAUAGGUUCGAUUCUCAGCAGGCUUAGCUGUCCUCGCCGAUCAAAAGUAUGUUUGCAAGGCGCACUGCGAUCCAUUCAUCUAAGAUUUUUUUUUUAAUUACUAUUAUUUUUUUCAUGCAAAUUUAUUUUUAACACUGUUGCAAGCUGGGAUUGUGACACAGAUGACCUUUCGGAAGCAAUAAUGAAAUAGUGAUGCACUGCGUAGCUCUGUUUCCUGUUGCAUUCGUAUAUGGCUUUUCCCUUUGCUUUCUAGGUGGUUAAAAGAGGAGAGAGAUGCAAUGCGCCGCAAGGGUUAAGGCAGCAUGAGAGAAUCCAUUCUCGGCUUAAUGACCUAGCCUAGCUGGGCGAGGACGGCAGGGAACACGCUCUUGACUUGUACCGAAUUUGCCAAUUAACACCUCGGAUAACAGGCAGCCUCGGAACAUCAGGCGCGUUGGGAGGAGAGGCUCACAUGCACUUUGUUUUUCAUUCUUGGCCUGCCUCCUAUGGCUGGCAUGCGUGCGUUUCAGCAUCUUAAGGCCGCCACAGUCAUUCAUAUCGCGCCGAACGCAAGGAACGCCGCGAUCAGAACAGCAGAGAUGGCUUGGAGAAACAUGUUCGUUUUGUCCCUAUACAGCUGGAGAGAUUUUUGGCUCCGGCUGCAUCGAAGAUAUUCUUCGACUUCUUUUUUUUCCAUUUCGUAUUUCUCCGUUACUGAUAGCGUUUGCUAUUUUCACACUAGUCCAUAUGGCCGCUUGCAGCCUCAAUUAGAUCCACAACUCUGGUUUCCAAGACACUCUCGUCUCUCUCUCUCGCUUUCUCUCUCAGGCCUGGCUCCCUCUCCCUCUUCCUCUCUUUUGUUGCUCCUAUUGAACAAAUGAAGACUAACAGACUGAUAUCGUCUUGAUCACAAAGUUAAUUAUUCAAAAAUCUAGAUCUCGACUCCGGUCUCCUUGGUUGAAGCACCCACUCCUCUCCAGCCUAUUAUUUUCUCACAUGUUUAUCAGACGCCUAAACAACACCUUGGGCGGGUGUGAAUUUUCAGGCCCCCAGUGAAAUUCUCACCGGGCUCCGUCACUGUUUUUCCUCCGAGUCCGUUUACAGGUAGGAGAGAGAGAGAGAGAGAGAGAAGCACCGCUGUCAGGUCCUAAUGACUGGAAACCCAUCUGAAACACCUUUCGGCCCGUGUGUCGCGCGCACGUCCUCACAUCAAGCUGGAGAAAUUGAAUAGCCUACGUGCACGCGACUACGUGGUUUCGCGAUUCAUUAGCAGCUAUUCUAACGGAAUGCGAUCAUCAAAGGAAAGAUACAUAAUUGAUAGAGGUUCACACCGCAGCCAAAGGUGAUGCAAUCUGUCUAGCAACGUUGGCAAAUCUGUGCCUUAUACUACAACUAGAAGCAUAACACUCCGAGGUGCGAGUUGUGUCGGAUGAGGAGCGCGCAGGCCGCGCGGUUAACACUUGUUUUAAACGGGGCGCGCGGCCCGCUCACCUCCGAGGUUGCGAGAUCGUAACUCGCCUCGUCGAUGAGACGAGCAGAGAGAAUGUGAUCCGUGCAAUGGAGGUCCACACACCCGCGUUCAUUUAUUUAUGCAGUGUGAAGAAACCAUCUGGCCGUGGAGAAAUUGAAAGUGGAUGUAAUCUGGCAGGCGGCGGAGUUUAUGACUGUACACCUCAAGUGGGAGGACAAAAUCAUUAAUGUUCCUCUGAACCGGCACAGGCCAUUAAAAGACUGACUAUCAGAAACCUUCGAUUUCUUGAAAGUCUCCCAAACAAUUAUGAUUCACAUAGGCUACAUUCGCAAAAUACUACAGGCCAGGUCAAAUUUACUCUCAUCGAGUCAUAAAUUGGACAUUGGAUUUUAUGGCAUUUUAUUUUGAUUCCCGGAGCUGCACUUUUGCACUUUUUUUGCAUAGAGUUUUGAAAUGCUCCAUCCUCCAAUCUCAAACUGUUCAGAUCCGACUGAAAUCUAGUCUUCAUAAUAAACUUUAAUUUAUUGUUAGUUCUUCAGGCAUUUUGGAAUAACAGUAUCUGUCCUACUUCUUCCUCCUUUACCUCACGAUGAAUCAAACGUGCUAAUGUAUUCACCUGUCACAAUUUUGCAGUUUAGUUUAAGCAAAUGCUGUUUUUCAGUGGGGAGUUUUAAGUUCUGAAAGUUACAGUAUGCUUCACAGUACAAUGAACUGUUUCUGGAAUGAUCAAGGAGAUUUUAAUUCCUCAUGAUAUGUGCCUUAUCCUUUUAUUUUUUAAAAAUAAGGGAUUCACUAAUUCAGUAUUGUGAAGUCUUUCUUUGUACAACUUUAAAUUAGACUGUUACAGAUCUGGAUUUACAAAAAAGGCUUGUAAAUUUUUCAUUAGUGUGCUUAAGGUAAAUGCUGUGACACUUUUACAUCAAAAGUGUUUUAAACAAGUAAAAACCACUAACUGAGUUAUUUGGUGUCUCAAUAAAGCAAUAAUAGAGGCUGUGUUAUUUUGUGACUGUAAUCACGACUGUGGUUUUCUACAAUAAAGCACAGCUUUCAUAUAGCAUUAACUACUAAAAAAUAUUAAAGACAUAAAUUGUCUUUAAGCCCUACAUUUUAUUUUAUUCCACAAAUGUAUAUUCUAAAAUAUAAUAUUCUUGACAAACAUUCACAACUAAUUGGUGCAUUCAGGAAUACAGCUUUCCAUUUUAUUAUAAGUUUUUGUAUAUCAUAAUAAUCCUAAAUCCUUAUUGAAAGAAACACUGUCAAUUUGUGCAUAUGCAAAAAAUAAAUUAAUUUAAAUGAAUGAAUGAAUACUGUUUUCUAAAUGGGUAGAUCCUACAUGGUAAGUUAAUGCAUCUAAUAUAUAUAAAAAAAUACAAAGCAAAGUAAAGCAAUUUGAGAAACAGAUGCACUGAUUAUGUAGACUGAAUUCAUUUGCCUUUUUCCUUUUCUUAACGUCUUUUAAUUUAGUGCACAACAAAUUUGUUGCCUACUCUGCUCACACUCUCGUCUAUCUAGGGAUGAGCUAGCGCAAUUCUCCGCUGGCUUUUCUGCGACAACAACCUGCAAAGUGCUCCCACAACCCUAAUCUGCACGUCAGGGACCCCACACUUCCUGAGCACCCACGGCUUCUGUUGUUUUCCUGCGAGUCCUGCCUUCGUUCUAUUGUGUUUGCAUCCCAUAGGUCACGUCAAAUUCAUCGCACAGUCAUUGGCUGUGUACACAAUAGAGCGAGUGCGUGUGCAAGAGGAUGGAAAUGAGAGUUGUGAGUCUUGCUAUUGUGGUGAUGAACCGACUCCAGAUAUAAAUGCCAAGUUUGGAUUUAAAGCUGAGAAGCAGGUGUGAAAAGUACUGAGAAAUCCAUUAUUUCACAUCUGAAAUUCUUUUUAAGGACCUCUGAUUUCUGUAAACCAAAAUUAGCACUUUUCCGGUUCCUCUAACUGGUAGAGUAUAAAGCUGGAAGUGCCAAGGUUGUGGCUUUGAUUUCCAGGGAACAAGAGUCUGGUAUGAGUGACAAAUGGAGCUCAUGUGUAGUUCAGACAGACCACUUUGUGACAGCCAGAAUAAGCUGAUGCUCAGCUGAUUGUAACUCCUCCCACUACAAUUAAAUCAGAUAUAUAAGUUCAUCCAUACUCACGCUUUUCUCAUUUAUUUGUAUAGCGCGUUUCACAAUACACAUAGUUGCAAAGCAGCUUCACAGACAAUUAAAGUUUCUACAGUACAUUUAGUAGUUUAUCAGUCAAGGUACAAUACAAUAAAAUCAUGCAGUUAGUCAAUGUCAUGUAUUCAAACAAAAAUAGUGAACACGAUUAACAGCAAUGAUUAUAUGUUGCGAUCAUUUGGUAGUUUUGUAUGUUGGUUUGGGGUUAUCAUCAUCUGAAGUCCUCAGAGGGAUAGGAGUCAUCUCUGCUCAGGUGUUCCGUCAUCUCAGAUCUUCAUAAGAGGCUGGAUCCAGACUGAAGCUUGGGUAAUCUCUAGUUUCUUCGGGAUGCAGAAACAGAAAAGCAAACUGAGAAAAGUUAGCAUAGCUGUUGUUCAAAAGUCCAGAGUUUUGUGAACUUAGGGAGCAGGACGGAUUGUAGAAGACUGGUUAGGGGAGCAGGAGCUAAACCAGUUAGCGCCUUAUAAGUAAAUAGAAAUAUUUUGUAACUGAUACUGAACUUAAUAGCUAGCCAGUGUAGAGAUUGUAAAAUUGGAGUACUUGUUUUAGUCUGUUGCACAGACAUGUGCUAACCCUCCUCCAUCCCCAGCUCCUCCUUAUACAGGCACAUGAUCGCUCAGCAUCUUGUCCACGAAAAUCAUCUAUCAGCUAAUCGUUGUCCAGUCUUAUUUACAGGCCUGUAUCACUUCUGCAUGGAAUUUUAUAUCUGUUGCACAUUUAAAAAAAAAAUAAAAAAAGAAAAAAAUCUGGUAAUUGCAUUAUAGGCUUCAGGGGUUUCAAACCUCAGUGAGGUUUGUUUGUGGACAGCUCAGAAUCUGAACCCUUCAGAGCAAAGCUUGCUGCCAAAAUAAUGUUCAGGACCUCUACAAUAAUCUUAAUCAAACAGAGUGGUCCUGACUGAAAUGUACUUAAAGGAAUAGUUCACCCAAAAAUUUUUAUAAAAAUGAACUCACAGGCCAUCCAAGAUAUAGAUGAGUCCAAACAGCUGAUAAAAGCAUCAUAUUAAUCCACAAGUAAUCCAAACCACUCCAGUCCAUCAGUUAACAUCUUGAGAAGUAAAAGCAUGGUUGUAAGAAACAGAUACAUCAAGGCAUUUUUAACCCCAAACCAUUGCUUCUGGCCAAAAUAUGAGUCCAUAACAACACUUCCUCCAGUGAAAAAGUCCAUCUCCUGUUGUCUCUCUCUUGCAUUGUUUUAACAGCUGUUUGGACUCUCAUUCUGACGGCACCCAUUCACUGCAGAGGAUCCAUUGGUGAGCAAGUGAUGUAAUGCUACAUUUCUCCAAAUAUGAUGAAAAAACAAACACAUCUACUGUACAUCUUGGAUGUCCUGAGGGAGAGUACAUUUUCAGUAAAUUGUAUAUUUUUUCUUAUUAGGAGCAAUGGUUAGGUGCAAACUGAAUUAGGUGAAUUGAGUUAAAUAGAUGAAGUAUUGCCCUUUGAAUUUGAAUGUAAAGAUUCAAAAUGAACUGAAAUUCAGAGAAAUUCAUAUAACUAAUAAUAAUACAUUUGUACAUUUUUUUAAUAAUACAAUUUUAAACUAUAAAAAAAAAUCCUGUGUGUUGCAAUUCAGUUCACACUGAUGAAAGGGAGCGAAUUCUGAAUUUCUGAACAAGAUCAAUUAUAUGUAUCAUGUGCAUAACGUGCAAAUUGUGAUGCAAUGCAAGUGUGGUCAGUUUUCUCUUUCAGAUCAACUGUCAUGGUGGAGCCAUAAUCUUGCUAAACAGGUUAGAAUGAUUGCAGAUAUCUGAACGGCACACAGACGCUGGACAGCUAUCAAACAUGGCUUAUGUUAUUGCCAUCCAGAAAUCUCAGCUCCUCAGCCAUGAUGGCAGAAAGAGAGAGAGAGAGAGAGAUGUGCGCUGGCAGCCUCUUCCAUCUGCAUUACUAAAUCAUACACUGUCUCUCUACAGGGACAAAUAAAAACCUCAGUGCUGAAUAUUUCAGCAACGGCUUGGAUUUCAUCAUGUGUAGGCCUGACAAUAUUGAUAGAGGAGCCAAAAAGAUGCUAAACCUAAAGCCAAUGACAUGAGACUGGUUUAGUAGCCUCAGUAUUAGUAAUGCAAGAGCAGUUUUGAAUCAUUCAUUUAUUUUUAACCUUGUGUGGCAGCAGUGUAUUUAUAUUUCUCAAACGCUCUGUAAACAUUUAAAUUUGGCAGUUAAUUCAACCCGAAUCGCUUAAUGUACAGAAUCCAUUCAAUCUUAUUUUUUUUUAGUUCGUCCAUCCUAGAAAUGAUAAAGUUUAUAAAAAAACAAAUUAAACAUUAUAUCUAAGAAAUCUAUGAUUAAAAUUUGAAAAACUGCUGUUGAUUUCCCCCAUUAGAAAUUAGUAAACUGAUAUUUGUGAAUCCCUCACCUUUUUUUUGCAUACUAAAUUUUGAUUGGUUUUGACUUUGUCUCAUGUAACCAUGCAGUAACUACAUCGUAAAAAAAAAAAAAGAUUGUGAUUACAUUUUGUAUCAUAGCUCAUUAAUAUGAAACAUAUUUCUUAAAAAAAAAAUUUAACAUUAGUGUUUUUUUAAUAAUAAAUACGUUUUCACAGUGUUGUAGAAACAUUUGCCGUUAUCAAAAUGUUUUUUUUUUCACAUUUAUCUUUAAAAGUGUAAUCAUCAACAUAAAAGGUGUAUUAAUGAGAGAAAUAGAAUAUUAAAGGAAUAGUUCACCCAAAAAUGAAAAUUUGUAGAUGAGUUUGAUGAGUUUGUUUCUUUAUGGGAACAGAUUUAGAAAAAUG
ensembl:lncRNA